ACAGAGGCAGCAGCCCGAGAGCCUCUCCCACACAUGACCCGCUGGUUUCACUCAUGGUACAGUCCAUUUCACCAAGCUGGCAUUGCCUGUGGGCAAAGUCGGGACCAUAGCAAGUGCUUGCUGUCCCUCAAAUUUCAAACAUAGAGUGAAUUCAUGAUGCCAUCUGAAAGACUGUGCUUGCAAGCUUCCCAGAAAACAACCCUUGCAGGACAAAGAAACGCACAGUGCAUGCUGGACCUGCUGCUUCUCCCUGCAACACCUCAAGUGAAAACACAGGCCCUGAGAAGUACAGAGACACAGUUUUAACCAAGUCCAUCAGGGUGUCCAGUUUCAAUCACAAGCUGCUGGUAUGAUCCUCAACAAGCCAGGAUUCAAGUGCAAGCCCACCUGCAACCAGCAAAGAGAAGCAAUCAGGGAACUGCAAUUGUGACUACUCCGAGACACUCAAUCAUGAAUCAUGCAAAUUACAAUCAUGUUCUAACCUGCUGUUCAAGGGAGAAUAAAAUAGAAAUUAUCGCAUAUGAGGCUUAUUCACCUGUUUACAUAU